AGUGAACGCUGGCGGCAGGCCUAAAACAUGCAAGUCGAACGCUCUAGCAAUAGAGAGUGGCGCACGGGUGAGUAACACGUGGGAAUAUGCCUUUUGGUACGGAACAACGUCUGGAAACGGACGCUAAUACCGUAUGGUCCCUCCGGGGUAAAGAUUUAUCGCCAAAAGAUUAGCCCGCGUCUGAUUAGCUAGUUGGUGAGGUAAUGGCUCACCAAGGCGACGAUCAGUAGCUGGUCUGAGAGGACGAUCAGCCACACUGGGACUGAGACACGGCCCAGACUCCUACGGGAGGCAGCAGUUAGGAAUAUUGGACAAUGGGCGCAAGCCUGAUCCAGCCAUGCCGCGUGAGUGAUGAAGGCCUUCGGGUUGUAAAGCUCUUUAGUCCACGAAUAUAAUGACUGUAGUGGAAGAAUAAGCCCCGGCUAACUUCGUGCCAGCCGCCGCGGUAAUAC
rnacentral:rRNA from 1 species